UACUUUGUUUUCGGACGUCUUCGUAGCUGUUUGUUGGGAAUGAUGUAUACUUUGAAACCAGUGCACAAAGUGAUCCCGGUGGAUCAUCGGAUGGUCACUAACAGACUGAAUCUAAAUUGUUACGAUUUCGGUGCGACGUGUCCUUUAAAGACAUGCAGUCAGCAGACUAAUC